AAAAUUGUGCCCUAACUUACUGGGUUUCGGUUUUCCUCGUUUAAUCUAAAUAACGACAUAAUCCUCUUAAAUCGCAAUACGAGUUUUAAAAGAAAAAUGCUUAUUUUCGGGGAUACGAGGUAUGGUGCCCUAACUUACUGGGUAUGACAUUUUGUUACCUCGAAAUGAGAUCUUUUGCAAAAUAAAGGUAAUGUUCGGUG
rnacentral:lncRNA from 1 species